rnacentral:sRNA from 12 species
AUGCCUUGUGAUAAAGGUACAAUAAUUUCAUCGCAACAACCAUAAAAGAAAUCAAAAAGAGUUGCGAUAUAAU